AUGGUCCUCAGAGAUAUCAGGGAUAUGUUGCAAUCCAUGGGAAAAGAUAUUACAAGCUAUGGACUUCCGGAUUUGGUUGAGAACGAUGGUUCUUCUGAUGGUGAGUACAAAGAGGUAACAGAGGAGAGGCAAGUCAGCGUGGACAAAGAACACCUAGAUUUAUUUAGUAGUUUGAACAAUGAACAGCUGGCUGGUUUCAAUGAAAUCAUGGAUCAUGUGAUGGAACACAAAAGCCAGAUAUUCUUUGUUGAUGGUCCAGGAGGCACCGGCAAGACAUACUUGUACAAGGCAUUGCUUGCAAAGGUGCGUUCGAUGGGCCAGAUAGCGAUUGCAACUGCUACAUCAGGUAUAGCGGCGUCAAUAAUGCCCGGAGGACGGACUGCGCACUCCAGGUUCAAAAUUCCAAUCAAGCUCACUGACAACAUCAUGUGUAGUUUCACAAAGCAGAGUGGUACAGCGGAGUUGCUUAAACAAGCCUCCUUGAUAAUUUGGGACGAGGUCGCUAUGACAAAACGUCAAGCAGUUGAGACGCUUGAUAGAUCCCUGCAGGACAUAAUGGACUGUUCUUUGCCAUUUGGGGGAAAGGUUGUCGUCUUUGGUGGGGAUUUCAGGCAGGUCCUCCCCGUUGUGACACGUGGGACAAGAGCACAGAUCACGGAUGCUACACUUCUAAGAUCCUAUCUGUGGGAGAAGACCCGGAAGAUACGCCUCACGUGCAAUAUGCGAGCACAGGCUGAUCCUUGGUUCUCUGAAUACCUCCUACGGAUCGGCAAUGGAACAGAAGAGACAAUUGGCGACGACUAUGUGCGUCUCCCUGACGACAUUGUGAUCGGCUAUACCGAGGAUGAGAAAGCUAUUAACACACUCAUCGACAAUGUCUUCCCAUCGUUGCAUGCCAAUGCUAGAUCGAGAGAGUAUAUGAGCACACGUGCUAUUCUUUCCACCAAGAACGAUCAUGUUGAUGACCUGAAUGACAAGAUGAUCUCCAGGUUUCCAGGCUCAGAAAAGUUAUACCAUAGCUUCGACUCCAUCGAGGAUGACUUGCAGAAUAAUUACACGAUUGAUUUUCUAAACUCGAUCACACCAAAUGGCUUGCCCCGCAUGUGUUGA
rnacentral:rRNA from 1 species